AUAAUACUGACACUGAGGCUCGAAAGCGUGGGUAGCAAACAGGAUUAGAUACCCUGGUAGUCCACGCCGUAAACGAUGUCUACUAGUCGUUGGGUCCCUUGAGGACUUAGUGACGCAGCUAACGCAAUAAGUAGACCGCCUGGGGAGUACGGCCGCAAGGUUAAAACUCAAAUGAAUUGACGGGGGCCCGCACAAGCGGUGGAGCAUGUGGUUUAAUUCGAUGCAACGCGAAGAACCUUACCUGGUCUUGACAUAUCUAGAAUCCUGCAGAGAUGCGGGAGUGCCUUCGGGAAUUAGAAUACAGGUGCUGCAUGGCUGUCGUCAGCUCGUGUCGUGAGAUGUUGGGUUAAGUCCCGCAACGAGCGCAACCCUUGUCCUUAGUUACCAGCGGGUUAAGCCGGGAACUCUAAGGAUACUGCCAGUGACAAACUGGAGGAAGGCGGGGACGACGUCAAGUCAUCAUGGCCCUUACGACCAGGGCUACACACGUGCUACAAUGGUAGGUACAGAGGGCAGCUACACAGCGAUGUGAUGCGAAUCUCAAAAAGCCUAUCGUAGUCCAGAUUGGAGUCUGCAACUCGACUCCAUGAAGUAGGAAUCGCUAGUAAUCGCGGAUCAGAAUGCCGCGGUGAAUACGUUCCCGGGCCUUGUACACACCGCCCGUCACACCAUGGGAGUUGAUUGCACCAGAAGUGGAUAGCUUAACCUUCGGGGGAGCGUUCACCACGGUGUGGUUGAUGACUGGGGUGAAGUCGUAACAAGGUAACCGUA
rnacentral:rRNA from 1 species